UACAGAGGUCUCAAGCGUUGUUCGGAUUCAUUGGGCGUAAAGGGUGUGUAGGUGGCGCCGUAAGUCGGGCGUGAAAUUUCGGAGCUUAACUCCGAAACUGCAUUCGAUACUGCGGUGCUUGAGGACUGGAGAGGAGACUGGAAUUCAUGGUGUAGCAGUGAAAUGCGUAGAGAUCAUGAGGAAGACCAGUGGCGAAGGCGGGUCUCUGGGCCGAUACUGACGCUGAGGCACGAAGGCCAGGGGAGCAAACGGG
rnacentral:rRNA from 1 species